GACCUCAGGAAAACUGGAACAGUGAAGAAACGGUGUGUGAUUACAGACUUUUGUGUGAGGUUUUGAAAGUUAGGUAGGCGACUCUAGGCUGAGGAGCUCAGAAAACUGUUUACUGCCUCCUUAAGAGCAAAUCUUGAAAAUUUGUGUGUGGUUACAGACUUUUGUGUGAGGUUUUGAAAGUUAGGUAGGCGAGUCUAGGCUGAGGAGCUCAGAAAACUGUUUACUGCCUCCUUUGUCAUAAAGCCAUACAUGUCGUUUAAAUGAAGUAGAUUUUUGUUUUACAAGUUUGAAGAAAACAAAUAUGGGUUAAUGAAAACGGAUAUUCUGCUCUAAAAAGGGAUCUCCAACUCCACAUAGAAGGAGGGAGCUUUUGUUACGAAGUAAGAAAAGAUCAAUAAUGGAUGAUGAAUGUUCGGUAAAGUGUGUCGGCUCAUCAAUACAUUGUGUAAGCCCAAACUGGGUACAUAAAGCAGUA